rnacentral:rRNA from 1 species
UACAGAGGUCUCAAGCGUUGUUCGGAUUCAUUGGGCGUAAAGGGUGCGUAGGCGGCGCGGUAAGUCGGGUGUGAAAUCUUGGAGCUUAACUCCGAAACUGCAUUCGAUACUGCCGUGCUUGAGGACUGGAGAGGAGACUGGAAUUUACGGUGUAGCGGUGAAAUGCGUAGAUAUCAAGAGGAACACCAGUGGCGAAGGCGGUGGUCUGGGCCGGAACUGACGCUGAGGAGCGAAAGCGUGGGUAGCAAACAGG